GACGAACGCUGGCGGCGUGCCUAAUACAUGCAAGUCGAGCGGACAGACGAGGCGCUUGCUCGGCGGACGUUUGCGGCGGGCGGGUGAGUAACACGUGGAUAACCUACCUAUAAGACUGGGAUAACUUCGGGAAUCCGGAGCUAAUACCGGAGAAUAUAUUGAACCGCGUGGUGCAUUAGUGAAAGACGGUGUUGCGGUCUCUUAUAGAUGGAUCCGCGCCGCUUUAGCGAGUUGGUAAGGUAACGGCUUACCAAGGCAACGAUGCGUAGCCGACCUGAUAGGGUGGUCGGCCACACUGGGACGGAGACACGCUACAGACGCCUACGGGAGGCACCAGUAGGCAAUCUUCAGGCAUGGGCGAAAGCCUGACGGAGCAGGGCCGAGGGAGUGAUGAGGGUCGUCGGAUCGUAAAUCACUGUUAUUGGGGUGGAACAAAUGUGUGCGUAACUCGGCGCGUCUGGACGGUAACUAGGCAAAAAGCCACGGCUAACUACGUG
rnacentral:rRNA from 1 species